rnacentral:rRNA from 1 species
AUGAUGAACCGAUGCAAGCUGAUUUGGAGGCACUCAAACAUGAUCCUUGAAAGCGGAUUCCCAUCUCAGUAUAUGCUGUCAAUGACCAAGAUAGAGUUGUGUAGAGCUUUGCAAAAGCGAGACGAAGAUAUUGUUCAUGCUAUUGAGCUUAUUGCUGACACAAAGUAUUACUUGGAGGCUUUGAGGACCGAUGCUGGAUGGGAUGAUUUUCUCACAAAGGUCACAUCUUUUUGUGCGAAGAAUAAGAUCAAAGUUGUUGAUAUGGAGGGUCCUUACUUUCCCGUUGGCCGGCCUAGAAGGGGUUUAUGUAAUGGUCUGACCAAUUACCACCGCUUCAAGGUUGAUAUGUUUGUGGGUGUCAUUGAUAGGCAAAUCGGUGAGCUGAAUGGCAGAUUUGAUGAGAGAUGA